rnacentral:rRNA from 1 species
AGUGAACGCUGGCGGUAGGCCUAACACAUGCAAGUCGAACGGCAGCACAGUAAGAGCUUGCUCUUACGGGUGGCGAGUGGCGGACGGGUGAGGAAUACAUCGGAAUCUACUUUUUCGUGGGGGAUAACGUAGGGAAACUUACGCUAAUACCGCAUACGACCUACGGGUGAAAGCAGGGGAUCUUCGGACCUUGCGCGAUUGAAUGAGCCGAUGUCGGAUUAGCUAGUUGGCGGGGUAAAGGCCCACCAAGGCGACGAUCCGUAGCUCGUCUGAGAGGAUGGUCAGCCACACUGGAACGUGGACACGGUCCAGGCUACUACGGGAGGGAGCAGUGGGGAAUAUUGGACAAUGGGCGCAAGCCUGAUCCAGCCGUACCGCGUGGGUGAAGAAGGCCUUCGGGUUGUAAAGCCGUUUUGUUGGGAAAGAAAAGCAGCAGGUUAAUACCCCGCUGUUCUGACGGUACCCAAAGAAUAAGCACCGGCUAACUUCGUG